rnacentral:rRNA from 1 species
GUUAAGCGACUAAGCGUACACGGUGGAUGCCCUGGCAGUCAGAGGCGAUGAAGGACGUGCUAAUCUGCGAUAAGCGUCGGUAAGGUGAUAUGAACCGUUAUAACCGGCGAUUUCCGAAUGGGGAAACCCAGUGUGUUUCGACACACUAUCAUUAACUGAAUCCAUAGGUUAAUGAGGCGAACCGGGGGAACUGAAACAUCUAAGU